CCUACGGGUGGCAGCAGUAGGGAAUUUUCGUCAAUGGGCGCAAGCCUGAACGAGCAAUGCCGCGUGAACGAGGAAGGUCUUCGGAUCGUAAAGUUCUGUUGAAGGGGAAAAAGAGCGGAGAGAGGAAAUGAACUCCGAUUGAUAUUACCCUUCGAGGAAGUCACGGCUAACUACGUGCCAGCAGCCGCGGUCAUACGGGGGAUGCGAGCGUUAUCCGGAUUUAUUGGGUUUAAAGGGUGCGUAGGCGGCGCUUCAGGUCAGCGGUGAAAUACCGGGGCUCAACCCCGGGGCUGCCGUUGAAACCGGAGCGCUAGAAUUCCGAUGCCGUCGGAGGAAUGUGUGGUGUAGCGGUGAAAUGCAUAGAUAUCACACAGAACACCGAUUGCGAAGGCAUCUGACGAAUCGGAGAUUGACGCUGAUGCACGAAAGCGUGGGUAUCGAACAGGAUUAGAUACCCUGGUAGUC
rnacentral:rRNA from 1 species